rnacentral:rRNA from 1 species
GAUGAACGCUGGCGGCGUGCCUAAUACAUGCGAGUCGAGCGAACAGAUGAGGAGCUUGCUCCUCUGACGUUAGCGGCGGACGGGUGAGUAACACGUGGAUAACCUACCUAUAAGACUGGGAUAACUUCGGGAAACCGGAGCUAAUACCGGAUAAUAUAUUGAACCGCAUGGUUCAAUAGUGAAAGACGGUUUUGCUGUCACUUAUAGAUGGAUCCGCGCCGCAUUAGCUAGUUGGUAAGGUAACGGCUUACCAAGGCAACGAUGCGUAGCCGACCUGAGAGGGUGAUCGGCCACACUGGAACUGAGACACGGUCCAGACUCCUACGGGAGGCAGCAGUAGGGAAUCUUCCGCAAUGGGCGAAAGCCUGACGGAGCAACGCCGCGUGAGUGAUGAAGGUCUUCGGACCGUAAAACUCUGUUAUUAGGGAAGAACAAAUGUGUAAGUAACUAUGCACGUCUUGACGGUACCUAAUCAGAAAGCCACGGCUAACUACGUG